rnacentral:rRNA from 1 species
AUUGAACGCUGGCGGCAUGCCUAACGCAUGCAAGUCGAACGGCAGCACGGCAGUAGCAAUACUGUGGGUGGCGAGUGGCGGACGGGUGAGGAAUACGUCGGAAUCUGCCCAGUCGUGGGGGAUAACUAGCCGAAAGGUUAGCUAAUACCGCAUACGACCGAGAGGUGAAAGCGGGGGACCGCAAGGCCUCGCGCGAUUGGAUGAGCCGACGUCGGAUUAGCUAGUUGGUGGGGUAAAGGCCCACCAAGGCGACGAUCCGUAGCUGGUCUGAGAGGAUGAUCAGCCACACUGGAACUGAGACACGGUCCAGACUCCUACGGGAGGCAGCAGUGGGGAAUAUUGGACAAUGGGCGCAAGCCUGAUCCAGCAAUGCCGCGUGUGUGAAGAAGGCCUCGG